UACAGAGGGUGCGAGCGUUAAUCGAAGUUACUGGGCGUAAAGGGCGCGUAGGCGGUUAUAAGAGUGGAAUGUGAAAGCCCCGGGCUUAACCUGGGAAGGGCAUACCAAACGAUAUAACUGGAGUAUGGGAGAGGGUGGCGGAAUUUCCGGUGUAGCGGUGAAAUGCGUAGAGAUCGGAAGGAACGUCGAUGGCGAAGGCAGCCACCUGGCCCAAUACUGACGCUGAGGCGCGAAAGCGUGGGGAGCGAACAGG
rnacentral:rRNA from 1 species